rnacentral:lncRNA from 1 species
UGGCACGUGUGUCCACACUCGCUGCCUGUUGCCUUGACCACCCCCGAAGGUGACCAGGAAAGGCUGAGGAAGGCUUGUGUGCCCCAAGGCUCAGCAGUAGGCAUGGGGUGCACUCUACCUGCCUCCAGUGCCUGGCCCUGGUGCCACACCAUCGCCUGGAGUCUGGCUGCCAUGACAAAUGGCAAAGGAUUGGGACCUGCUACUGCUGGUGAGGAGGGGACCGUCAUGGCCACCUACAGAUGGGACACAGGGCUGUGACAUCCUGACCAGCAGGUGGUCUCUGUGGAUGUCCGGCCCCAGCCCUGCCCUGCGCUGACCCACUGUCCCGGCAGCCUGACCAGCUCUGGGUGCCCACUCGGAGGGUCCCCCAGACACCUGCC